rnacentral:rRNA from 1 species
AGCGAACGCUGGCGGCAGGCUUAACACAUGCAAGUCGAACGGGCAUAGCAAUAUGUCAGUGGCAGACGGGUGAGUAACGCGUGGGAACGUACCUUUUGGUUCGGAACAACACAGGGAAACUUGUGCUAAUACCGGAUAAGCCCUUACGGGGAAAGAUUUAUCGCCGAACGAUCGGCCCGCGUCUGAUUAGCUAGUUGGUAGGGUAAUGGCCUACCAAGGCGACGAUCAGUAGCUGGUCUGAGAGGAUGAUCAGCCACAUUGGGACUGAGACACGGCCCAAACUCCUACGGGAGGCAGCAGUGGGGAAUAUUGGACAAUGGGCGAAAGCCUGAUCCAGCCAUGCCGCGUGAGUGAUGAAGGCCCUAGGGUUGUAAAGCUCUUUUGUGCGGGAAGAUAAUGACGGUACCGCAAGAAUAAGCCCCGGCUAACUUCGUG